rnacentral:rRNA from 1 species
CCUACGGGUGGCAGCAGUGAGGAAUAUUGGUCAAUGGACGAGAGUCUGAACCAGCCAAGUAGCGUGAAGGAUGACUGCCCUAUGGGUUGUAAACUUCUUUUAUAAAGGAAUAAAACGAGGCACGUGUGCCUUUUUCCAUGUCCUUUAUGAAUAAGGAUCGGCUAACUCCGUGCCAGCAGCCGCGGUAAUACGGAGGAUCCGAGCGUUAUCCGGAUUUAUUGGGUGUAAAGGGAGCGUAGAUGGGUUGGUAAGUCAGUUGUGAAAGUUUGCGGCUCAACCGUAAAAUUGCAAUUGAUACUGGCAGUCUUGAGUACAGGUGAGGUAGGCGGAAUUCGUGGUGUAGCGGUGAAAUGCUUAGAUAUCACGAAGAACCCCGAUUGCGAAGGCAGCUUACUAAACUGUGACUGACAUUGAUGCUCGAAAGUGUGGGUAGCAAACAGGAUUAGAUACCCGUGUAGUC